rnacentral:rRNA from 1 species
CAGUAGCCACGGUAAUACGGAGGGAGCUAGCGUUGUUCGGAAUUACUGGGCGUAAGGCGCGCGUAGGCGGUUACUCAAGUCAGAGGUGAAAGCCCGGGGCUCAACCCCGGAACUGCCUUUGAAACUAGGUGACUAGAAUCUUGGAGAGGUCAGUGGAAUUCCGAGUGUAGAGGUGAAAUUCGUAGAUAUUCGGAAGAACACCAGUGGCGAAGGCGACUGACUGGACAAGUAUUGACGCUGAGGUGCGAAAGCGUGGGGAGCAAACAGGAUUAGAUACCCCAGUAGUCCCUGUCUCUUAUAC